UACAGAGGGGGCAAGCGUUGUCCGGAAUUAUUGGGCGUAAAGAGCUCGUAGGCGGUGUGUCGCGUCGGCCGUGAAAACCUGCAGCUUAACUGUGGGCGUGCGGUCGAUACGGGCAUCACUGGAGUUCGGCAGGGGAGACUGGAAUUCCUGGUGUAGCGGUGAAAUGCGCAGAUAUCAGGAGGAACACCGGUGGCGAAGGCGGGUCUCUGGGCCGAUACUGACGCUGAGGAGCGAAAGCGUGGGGAGCGAACAGG
rnacentral:rRNA from 1 species